GACAGAGCAGUAGGGCUCAGAUAUUGACUUUGUGUGCUGUCUGAGUCGACAAAGACUUUAAAUAUCUCCAGGAAUCUCUGCCACAAUGGAAGUGUUACAUAUUAAAUACACCCUGGAGAGUAGGACUCAGUCAGGAUAACCCAAAUGCCUUUGGUAAAUAGAUUGCCAAUGGAUGAACUAUCUCUUCUGGUUAGUAAGUCUAUAUAAACAUUUACGGUUUGGCAAACAAAUUGCUCCCUGGCCGCAAGCUGAACUUCUGGAAGGAAGAGUAUUACAGGAAAGUUGUUAAAGCAGCAGGAUUAACAGCAAGUUACAAUGAAGACAGGUCUCCGUGAUGUGACAUAAAUAAUUGCCUUUGAUUGAUGUGCAACUCAGAUUGAAAGUUGGGAAUCAUGAAGAACUACCCUUGCUCGUCUUGGGAGCAAAGUUUACCAUAUUUUCCUGGGAGACUGGCAACAUCACUGCCUUGAGCACGCCCAAGAAGAUACCAUUUCUAAGGCCAGAAGGCUUAAUCACGAAAACUGAAAAUGGAGUUAUAGACAAAACUUUGCCUAAUCUGGCGAGAAAAAGAGUAAAAGAGAAAGAGAAGAAACAGAAAAAUAAAGAGAGAUAAAAGAGAUGGAUGAGACCUUGAGGCUGGUUGUACAUCAUCUGGGAAAGGGUAAUUCUGGAGUAUUUACUCUGCGGUUUAUGGAUGAAGACA